AUGAACGCUGGCGGCGUGCCUCACACAUGCAAGUCGAGCGGCAGCGAGGGGUGCUUGCACCCUGUCGGCGCGCGGCGGACGGCUGAGUAACGCGUGGGAACGUGCCCCAAAGUGAGGAAUAACUGCCCGAAAGGGUAGCUAAUACCGCAUAUUAUCUUCGGAUCAAAGGAUUUAUCCGCUUUGGGAGCGGCUCGCGUCGGAUUAGGUAGUUGGUGAGGUAAUGGCUCACCAAGCCGACGAUCCGUAGCUGGUCUGAGAGGAUGACCAGCCAGACUGGAACUGAGACACGGUCCAGACUCCUACGGGAGGCAGCAGUGAGGAAUCUUCCACAAUGGGCGAAAGCCUGAUGGAGCAACGCCGCGUGCAGGACGAAGGCCUUCGGGUUGUAAACUGCUUUUAUAAGUGAGGAAUAUGACGGUAACUUAUGAAUAAGGAUCGGCUAACUACGUG
rnacentral:rRNA from 1 species